GAGGCCCUGGGGAAGACCCAGAACAAGGUGGAGAUUAAAUCUCCAUAUUGGCCCGGGAAUGCCUUAGGAACCCAGUCAGGUGAGAAUGCUUGAGAACGGUAUACCAUCAUCUCCCAAACUAUGGCAAUGGAACUGGACGCAAAGCAGCUGCAAUGAGUACAAGGGGUCCAUGACGGUGGUAGGACGCUCCGGAGGAAUCUCACACCAGGACCGAUUAGAAAGACCUACAUGCUAACAGCAUUGUCUUCCUCUCGCCGAUGGACCGAUCAGUGCGAUAAAGCUUCUUGUGAAAGCGGACGGGCUUGAAACAUCCUUCCCCCCAUGCGGCCUUGUGCUGACACGUAAAGCUGGCCUACCACAUAAUGAACCAAGCAGGAAAUAUCGCUUCAUCACUGCAAUAUCAUGCCAACAUUAGUUUACAGCUUGCAAGUAUUAUAUUAUAGUUGUAUAUUUGUGCAUUACAUCC
ensembl:lncRNA